rnacentral:rRNA from 1 species
UACGUAGGGUGCGAGCGUUAAUCGGAAUUACUGGGCGUAAAGCGUGCGCAGGCGGUUCGUUAAGUCAGAUGUGAAAGCCCCGAGCUCAACUUGGGAACUGCAUUUGAAACUGGCGGGCUGGAGUGUGGCAGAGGGGGGUGGAAUUCCACGUGUAGCAGUGAAAUGCGUAGAGAUGUGGAGGAACACCGAUGGCGAAGGCAGCCCCCUGGGCCAACACUGACGCUCAGGUGCGAAAGCGUGGGGAGCAAACAGG